rnacentral:rRNA from 1 species
GUAAGGAAUAUUGGUCAAUGGACGAAAGUCUGAACCAGCCAUGCCGCGUGAAGGAUGAAGGCCCUCUGGGUUGUAAACUUCUUUUAUCUGGGACGAAAAAAGGGUAUUCUUACUCACUUGACGGUACCAGAGGAAUAAGCACCGGCUAACUCCGUGCCAGCAGCCGCGGUAAUACGGAGGGUGCAAGCGUUAUCCGGAUUCACUGGGUUUAAAGGGUGCGUAGGUGGGGAUUUAAGUCAGUGGUGAAAUCUCCGAGCUUAACUCGGAAACUGCCAUUGAUACUAUUUACCUUGAAUGCCCUGGAGGUAAGCGGAAUAUGUCAUGUAGCGGUGAAAUGCUUAGAUAUGACAUAGAACAGCAAUUGCGAAGGCAGCUUACUACGGGGUGAUUGACACUGAGGCACGAAAGCGUGGGGAGCAAACAGGAUUAGAAACCCGUGUAGUCC